rnacentral:lncRNA from 1 species
GAAGUAACAUUUUCUGGUAUCUCCUCAGAAGGAUGGUAGUGAGAUGGAGCAGAUCGGUUAAUUCUGCUGUCGUAAUCAUGGUCUUGAUCUUCAUUGGAAGGAGUUGGAGUCGAUGAAGCCGCCGCCGCCGCAGUGAAAUGCCGUUGCACUCUUUUCCGCCCAAUGGCGUUGGUUGUGGUGACAUUUGUCGCUGUCAUCGGAGAGAAGGAGUGGAUUUCUGAAGCUCCUCCAAAGCCUAUUCUCCUCCUUUGGAUGUACCUCUUCCUUAGAAGCAAGUCGGUCGGUCACAUUCUAUUACUCCACUGAUAUACUGGUAAUUAUUCUAUGAAAAGGAUAGAGUAGUAACAAACUAACUGACUAUAUAACGUACCAAUAAGACAAGCGGCGGCGACGGCAGAAUUCCCCAAGAGACGCGGCGGCACCACGGCCGCAAAAGAAGCAGUACGAAGAGGAGGAUGGGGGAGGAAGCCUGCGUUGGCCUGAGAAAAAAAAACAAUAAAUAGAGUAAUUAACACGGUUGGAGUCGGCGAGAAAUGGAAAAUAAUAAGAUCGAAGGACGAACUUGUGACGGAGGUGGUAACGCAGAAGCCGAGGACAGAGUCGGCGAUCAUCAUCGGCGCCGAUUGGGAUUGUGGGAGGGGCAAGAAAAAUAAAAGAGGAAUGGAUAGGAUGAAUAUGAUGGUGUCGUUAUGAAUUAGAUUCCAUCGAGUCCGUCCGUUCCGUGGCACGAUUGAUAGUUGAUGGUUUAGAUUUUAAAGGAAUCGCGACUUGAUUCUUGAGUAGUGUGAUGUCAUCAAACGAGAUAAAAGUAUAACACUCGGAAUUGGAGAAAUCUCAUACAGAUGUCCAUGGUAUCCAUAACUCUCCAUUUUUACAUGGUAUCUGUUCGUAGUUGGUACCGAGGCCUGUCCAGAUCACGGGCCGAACAUGCUACAGACCCCUCGCCCGAGCAACAGGCCUGGACCGACGAAGGCCCAGGGACCCAUGAAAGACUUUUAUAAAUACUUCUCCUGAUCCAACAAGGGAGAGAGUUGAUAAUUACUGAGAGGAAUACUAGAGAAUUGUGUGUGUGAAUCCCCUAACGCAGCUUAGGUAGUUAGGUCACAGAUCGAGGGGGGGGGCGUAAGAUAGUAUAAAUGCCCCCUAACUAUAGAGGAGGGAAAAGAUAAACCAUCGAAAAACUUUCACUUAUAACAGAGAAAGAGGUCAAUUUGAAAGAUAGUGUGUAUGAUAAUCAUUACCGUUAGCACAUACACCAUCAAUAUUCAUACUGAUACCCAGAAAAAAAUCGAUAUCUAAAAUUUUCUUACAAGCAGUAAAGGGUGAUUCAGAUCGGAUCAACCCAAAUGAAACAAAAUCAUCUGACAGUAAAGGGUGAUUCAGAUCCGCAAUAUAGAUCACAGAUAUCCGAAGCAGUUGAUGGCGGGAUUAGAUCCCUGAUGUUGAGACUUAGCCGGUCUAAUCACUGAUGUUAAGCUGAUUAGGAGAGGUGCUCAAUUCGACAGGUGACGAUUAACAGAGAGGCAACAACACGGUAGACGGACUCGUAACAGUAGAGGCGAUGGAGGAGGAAUGUACUCGACGAAAUCGUCGGAUUGAAUCCAGGAAGAUGGGUGGAGUUACUUUUUUAAGAGAUUAAUCGAUAAUCUUUCAUUGAAAAUUAAAAGUGUAUUUUAGGAAUUACACCCAUUUGCAAUUAAUAAAAACUAAAGGUCUAUUUAAUAAAAGUCCCAUUAAAUGUAUCAUAAUCCCUAACCCAAGCAGGGGCGUGGGUUUUCCUCUUCUCCCUCCGGUUCACGAGCGGUUCAGUGUCGUUAAACUGUGGCGAGCCGUCGUCGUCUUCUCCAACUUCUGAAAUUAGGUCAUCUUCUAAAGUCACUAUAUCUUUAAUUUUCUGGGCGUCCUCGUAUAUGUCUUUGUAGUAGAUCACCCUCGUAUCAGGGUAUAAUUAAAAGGUUUAGAUAACACACCACUAGGCAUUCUGAAAUAGUUUUUAGGAAAAAAAUUAAGAACAACAGACUCUCAUUUAGUGUCACAAGAAAAAUUAUUAUCGAUCACCUUUUGAAGAUGUUUUCUGGUGGUUCGUGACGAAGACUGAUCAGGUGAGUGCAAGAAUGUUACGCGGUGAUAGAUGUGCUGUGAGUAGAGCUAGAUUAGAACGUUAGUGAAAGAUCAAAAUAACACAAGAGAUGUUGAGAACCUGAAUAUUAGGGUUUUCAAAGUUUAACGUAUGUAUUGUAACAGAGACCCAUGCAAAAAGGAGAUAAGAGGCAGCAUAAUAACGUAAAAAUUAAUUAAGAUUUUACAGAUCAGUCAGUACAAGUAUUUAUACUAAGAAAUAAAUUAGAAAGAAUGCCUUGGAUCCUUCUUGGGUUGUCACAUAGUGGGUCUUCAACUGUGGUCUAUUUAACAUUUGCAAAUACUUUUAUAUCCCUAAAUUGCUUUGCAAAAUAACAUAUAUUAUAAAGUUUAUCAGAAUUGUUAGAUUUAAGGGAAGAGAGUUUUCAAAAUACGCUCCUCCCUAGAGAAGGAUGUGUGCCCCAACCUAUAGUGUCAUGAUGUUAAUGAAAUGACAUGCAAAGUGACUUCUAUUGGGGCUAUGUUUGAUUAGGUACAAUAUCUCCACCAUGUCGACUAGACCAAGAGUCUUUAUCAGAAAUUACAAUACAAUUUUUAGUAAAAUGCACAAUAAUAUUAUCAUUUUAGGUGAGUCUACUUAUAAAUAGUAGAUUGACCUGAAAUGUGGACAAGUAGUAUACCCUUUUAAAGGUGGUGUCAGGAGAUAUGACAAUGUCACUUUUUAUAGGAGACCAUCUGACUCGACCCAUUUAGAAGGAGAAUUAGUAUUCCCUUACAUUUAGUCAUUGACGGGAAUAGGGAAGCAUUCUCACUAAUAUGCCCAGAAACAUCUGAGACAACAAUCCAAAAGGAUUUGUAAUCAUUAUAAUGUAAAAUAGAAUUACAGUACCUGAUUGACUAUAAAGGAUGGGGUCGUUAUAAGUUAUAUCUUCCUUGGUUAGGAUUUGUACUUGUCAGAGUAUAAGGGAAAACCAUGAACACCAAUUGGGUUGUCCUGGUUUUCCUCCUCAAAUUCAACUUCAACAACUUAUUUUCCUUUGAAAUUGGCCCAACCAUGUGAUACACCAUGUUUUUUUAUAGUAGUAGUGUUCUUGUUUGUUGACUCAGACGAUGCAACAACUUAUGAAGUUCCAACAUGUUUGUUAUAUUUUUGCCCUUGAGGAAGACCAUGCUGACCAUAACACUUUUCAUCACUGUACCCAAAGGCAACACGGUGGAAGUAAUAUAUAGUAGUUCACAUUAACUUUCCUUCGAUUCUUAUAAAUUAAAGAGUAGCUCGAUCGAGAUUGGUCUUUUCCUUGAGUUUAAUUUACAGUUGAUGAGGAGAUAAUUGCAACAACUUUCUUGAUGUUAGGUGCUUCCAGAGGACUUGUAGUAGAGUGAUUUGGACAAUUGGAUGAGUAGAAAGUUGUCUCAGAUGACACAGAGUGGGUAUCCAACAUAGUGGAAAUUCAUAAAGGAUUUAGUGAUUAUAUUCAUACAUAACAACUACAAGAAGGGAUACAGACCUUCAACCGAGUAGCAAGCAGUCACAAAUUGGAAUGGCAACACGAUUUUGGUCCUCUUUUCUUUCUCAACUGUGUUUCCUGAAAACAUCAACCUCUCCUCUACCUAUGAGAAACCCUAGAUCGAUGUGUAGGAAAAAGAAACCCAUCUCACCCUAUCCUCUCUUGAGGGGGGAGAUAACGAUUUCUUCUCCUCUUUCUCCCCCUGAUUUCUUCACUGCACCUUCCUCUCUCGUUGUCCCCCCCUUUUUCUUUCUUUUCUCACAUGCUCCUCUCCUUGCAAGAUCUGUCGUUCCCGAUGUUGUUGUCGCCGACGCUGUCCAUUUUCCCACUCGGAUCUCAACUCCUUCUUCCUCUCAUCGUAGUGGAAUUCCCACCCACGAACACAAUGCGUAAUUGUUGGAGAGAAAGGCCGAGUUAUAGACCGGAGUUCUUGAGGAAGACGAAUCUGAGUAGAGAGGUCGUCUCUCGCGGUGUGCUGCUGGUAACUUUCUACAUCAAGCACAAGUGGACAAGUGAGAAAGGCGUGAUAACGCUAUGGGAAAGGGUCGCAGCUGAGGGUAUUGUUAC